rnacentral:rRNA from 1 species
GAUGAACGCUGGCGGCGUGCCUAAUACAUGCAAGUCGAGCGAACGGACGAGAAGCUUGCUUCUCUGAUGUUAGCGGCGGACGGGUGAGUAACACGUGGAUAACCUACCUAUAAGACUGGGAUAACUUCGGGAAACCGGAGCUAAUACCGGAUGAUAUUUUGAACCGCAUGGUUCAAAAGUGAAAGACGGUCUUGCUGUCACUUAUAGAUGGAUCCGCGCUGCAUUAGCUAGUUGGUAAGGUAACGGCUUACCAAGGCAACUAUGCAUAGCCGACCUGAGAGGGUGAUCGGCCACACUGGAGCUGAGACACGGUCCAGACUCCUACGGGAGGCAGCAGUAGGGAAUCUGCCGCAGUAGUCGAAAGCCUGACGGAGCAACGCCGCGUGAGUGAUGAAGGUCUUCGGAUCGUAAAACUCUGUUAUUAGGGAAGAACAUAUGUGUAAGUAACUGUGCACAUCUUGACGGUACCUAAUCAGAAAGCCACGGCUAACUACGUG